rnacentral:rRNA from 1 species
GCGAGCGGCGGACGGGUGAGUAACACGUGGGUAACCUGCCCAAGAGACUGGGAUAACACCUGGAAACAGAUGCUAAUACCGGAUAACAACACUAGACGCAUGUCUAGAGUUUGAAAGAUGGUUCUGCUAUCACUCUUGGAUGGACCUGCGGUGCAUUAGCUAGUUGGUAAGGUAACGGCUUACCAAGGCAAUGAUGCAUAGCCGAGUUGAGAGACUGAUCGGCCACAUUGGGACUGAGACACGGCCCAAACUCCUACGGGAGGCAGCAGUAGGGAAUCUUCCACAAUGGACGAAAGUCUGAUGGAGCAACGCCGCGUGAGUGAAGAAGGGUUUCGGCUCGUAAAGCUCUGUUGGUAGUGAAGAAAGAUAGAGGUAGUAACUGGCCUUUAUUUGACGGUAAUUACUUAGAAAGUCACGGCUAACUACGUGCCAGCAGCCGCGGUAAUACGUAGGUGGCAAGCGUUGUCCGGAUUUAUUGGGCGUAAAGCGAGUGCAGGCGGUUCAAUAAGUCUGAUGUGAAAGCCUUCGGCUCAACCGGAGAAUUGCAUCAGAAACUGUUGAACUUGAGUGCAGAAGAGGAGAGUGGAACUCCAUGUGUAGCGGUGGAAUGCG